rnacentral:misc_RNA from 1 species
GGAGAAACUUGACAAGCCAAAGACAGGAGGAACCCAUGGCUAGGAGCAUCUCAUACAUCACAGGCUCUCAGCUUCUCUCUCUCAAACGCCGUCCGAAUAUCGCCAUCGUUGACGUCAGGGAUGAUGAGAGGAGUUACGAUGGGCACAUAGCUGGGUCGCUUCACUUUGCGAGCGAUACUUUUCUUGAUAAAAUACCCAGUCUUAUUCAGGCUGCUAAUGGCAAAGAUACCCUUGUUUUCCAUUGUGCUCUUAGCCAGGUUCGAGGACCAAAAUGUGCAAGGAGGCUUGCAGAAUAUCUAGCUGAAUCGAAAGAUGAUGUGGGAAUAAAAAACAUUAUGGUAUUAGAGCGUGGUUUUAAUGGAUGGGAAUCCUCUGGUAGACCAGUUUGUCGUUGCGCUGAGGUCUACUGCAAGGGUCACACUGAACCAGCAUAGCUAUAUAAAAAAAAAGACAGAUAAACCAUGCUAAAGAAGAGGGGAUAUAUUGUACCCUGAUAUAUAGUUCGACUGAUUGUAAUAUUGUCUUAUAAAAGGAUUCUAUGGAGUUAUGAUCUGAGAGGCAACAAGUGGCUGUUUGGCUGCUCAUACAUGUAUUGCUCAUCAUUUUGAAAAGAAAACAAACCAUGUUAUUUUCAAUUUUUAUGCCAUUUUUUAACUUACUAUG